rnacentral:lncRNA from 1 species
AAACCCUUCUCCCAUGCCAAGAGGAGAAGUAAUGACAUUGUUGGCGCAUAAAGACAAUGAUAUUUUCAUUCAAUAAAUUCAUGUUAAAUGUUUGUUUUUCCAUUUAUUUUCCCUUUUCGCUUUUUGCAUGAAAUUGGUGAUCACAUAAAACCCUAAAAAAUAGAAUAAAAUCAAUUUUUUCAUCUGCAUAAUGAUUUGCCUUAUUUGAAUUCUAAAAGCUUUUCAUAUCCAAAAAUCAUUAUGCAGGUUGAUUUCUAAACCCAUUGAACAU